rnacentral:rRNA from 1 species
GUCUCAAAGAUUAAGCCAUGCAUGUCUGAGUAUAAGCAAUCUAUACUGUGAAACUGCGAAUGGCUCAUUAAAUCAGUCAUAAUUUAUUUGAUAGUACCUUAUACAUGGAUAACUGUGCUAAUUCUAGAGCUAAUACAUGCUAAAAACCCCGACUUCGGAAGGGGUGUAUUUAUUAGAUAAAAAACCAAUGC